rnacentral:rRNA from 1 species
AGAUUGAACGCUAGCGGCAUGCCUAACACAUGCAAGUCGAACGGUAACAGGCCCUUCGGGGUGCUGACGAGUGGCGGACGGGUGAGUAAUGCGUAGGAAUCUACCCACGAGUGGGGGAUAGCCCGGAGAAAUCCGGAUUAAUACCGCAUAUGCCCUACGGGGUAAAGCGGGGGAUCGUAAGACCUCGCGCUGGUGGAUGAGCCUACGUCCGAUUAGUUAGUUGGUGGGGUAACGGCCCACCAAGGCAUCGACGGAUAGCUGGUCUGAGAGGACGAUCAGCCACACUGGAACUGAGACACGGUCCAGACUCCUACGGGAGGCAGC